GAUGAACGCUGGCGGCGUGCCUAAUACAUGCAAGUCGAGCGAACGGACGAGAAGCUUGCUUCUCUGAUGUUAGCGGCGGACGGGUGAGUAACACGUGGAUAACCUACCUAUAAGACUGGGAUAACUUCGGGAAACCGGAGCUAAUACCGGCUAAUAUUAUGAACCUCAUGGUUAAAAAGUGAAAGAAGGUCUUCCUGUCACUUAUAGAUGGAUCCGCGCUGCAUUAGCUAGUUGGUAAGGUAACGGCUUACCAAGGCAACGAUGCAUAGCCGACCUGAGAGGGUGAUCGGCCACACUGGAACUGAGACACGGUCCAGACUCCUACGGGAGGCAGCAGUAGGGAAUCUUCCGCAAUGGGCGAAAGCCUGACGGAGCAACGCCGCGUGAGAGAUGAAGGUAUUCGGAUCGUAAAACUCUGUUAUUAGGGAAGAACAUAUGUGUAAGUAACUGUGCACAUCUUGACGGUAACUAAUCAGAAAACCACGGCUAACUACGUG
rnacentral:rRNA from 1 species